GCGCGUGUAAGAAAAUUUCACGGUAAGAAAAGAACCACCCAAACGGCAGAAGUAUUUUGCAGCUUGCUGUUUUUUCUUCUCCCAAAAAACUUUCUCCCACUUUGAUACUACCAGGUGGGGUUCAUGGGAGGAGUAAAAGGAUAUUUUUUGGUGCAAAGUGUUAUCAAUUGUUUUGGUUCUUAUAGUGUAGAUAGAUUUUUCCAGGCCUGGUGCCCCAGGUCGGAGGCACAACAGAAGCCGUUCACCCCGCGGCUUCCUCCCCUCCGUCCGCUGCUCCUUUCGCUUUUUUUCUCACAUCCGGCGGCCGGCGGCAGCGCGUCUUUAAUAUACCGAUUGAUUUGAAUCAUGGUUCACGAGGUAGAUGUUUGUUUGAUUACAUCUCAGUCUUAUACAGAUUGGGUUCCUUUCUACUCUUUUUGGCAGAAGUCUACAUAUCCCCCUCAUUCCUUGAGGUACAUAACAAGCAGAUCAAUGAUCUGUUCGAACCAUCUCAGCAUGACCUGCAGUGGAUGCUCUGAUCAGGAAGUUGUUGCAUGAAUUUGCAAGUUUAUAUGACAAUUACUGCUAACUGGAAUCUGCAAGUUCGGAAUAUGGAAAACGUGGACUUCCAAAUAGGAAAGUUGGCACCACCAGUAUGAACUUGAAUCAGCUAUUGCUGAGGCUUGAUCUAGAGUCGAACAGGAUGCAUGCAGAGAAGACCGAGAUGGAGCUAUGCAAUGAGAAGAAGUGCACAACUGAGCUGGACGAUGCUCUCCAACGAGCGAUGUAUGGCCAUGUCAUGAUGGUUGAACACUGUGUUGAGCUCUAGGAGUUGUACAAUCAUCUUCUUUGCGCUACCACUACCAGUUUCUGUGUUGAUUUGUCUACAAGAUGUAUUGGAUCAUAUGAAAAAUGGAACAAACAAAUAAAGACUUCACAGGCGCAUUAUCCCA